GCCCCCGUAGCCCAACCGGUAGAGGCACGCGGCUUAAACCCGUUCCAGUGUGGGUUCGACUCCCACCGGGGGCA
rnacentral:tRNA from 1 species